CCCUGGCUUCUGAGGUAAAGAAGCUGCCAUAUCCACACAAAUCUGCGGGGUACGAUGGUACAAGACAAAGAAAGCGCAGCACGUUAAUGCGUCACUUCCGGGCCAAAAAAAUGGGAUGAAUUUUCCCACCGCUAGAUGACGACAGUAGACGCGGAUAUACCUGAAGGACCCAGCUCUCAAUUUACCAGUCGAUCUGCAUCCCUACCCCCACCUAUGGUCAUGAGCUGUGGGUAGUUCCUCCGAAGAGUGGCUGGCCUCUCCCCUAGAGAUAGGGUGAGAAGUUCCUUCACAUCGAAAGGACCCAGUUGAGGUGUUCCGGGCAUCUGAUAAGGAUGCCUCCUGGGCUCCAAAGGGGUGAGGUAUUCCAGGCAUCUCCCACUGGGAGGAGGCCCCGGGGCAGACCCAAGGCAUGCUGGAGAGAUU